UCUACUGUAUAGUAUCUAUCUACAAAUAUUAAGACUUAUUUGUUGGUUGGCAACUGGCAAACCAGUAAACUUAUUGUGGUUUGCCAGUUGCAGUUUUUUGAUAUUCUGUCGUUUCGCAUUUAGUUGAUUUACCUUUAUAAGAAGCAUCAUGUAGAUGUAGACGAAAUGAUUUAUCAAAUACAAGAUAUUAUUAUACACGCGCUAUGAUUCGAUUUCCCGCGAUUAGAUUGGCAAUGGUGUCCUUGACGCCCCCUAUUGUUUCUGUCGUCACUCUGCCUCCGUGCAUGGCAUACUGUGCAAAGUUUCGACGGGGAUUUCCCCAUUCGAUUUACAAGCAUUUAUCCUUGUCUGUACUAACACAGACACGUGGGAGUUUCAGGUUAACGUCCUACGAACGCGGGAAUGUUGACUCUCCACCAAUGCAAUUAUUUUCUACUUUCUAUUUGGAUUUCUUUUUAAAGUUUGCGAUGAUAUGGGUAGAGUAAUAGAAUAAUUAUUCUACAACUAAAACAUUUCAACAUUAGUUAUUUUUGUAUUUGUUUUUGUAAAAUAUUUAAAAAAAUCAAUUGGUAUUCGUAAUGUUUUAAUCAAUCAGGCAAUGGUGUUUGCUGUGUUUUGUUCAAUUUCAUUUUCGUCUGCUUAUUUUCAUUUCAAAUUUAAUUUAUCAAGAGCUUCACGAGGUGUAGUCGUUCUAGGGUCACUCUCUCAUGUUCGUUUAGAGAAUUAAAAUAUGCUGAUUCAAUUAAAAGAAAUUGUUUGAGUUGUAUGAUUGUCUUAUUCCAAAUCCAAUGUCACCCAUUGGCACCUAGUCAAUCAAAGGCAUUUUGAAUUACCGUCAUCUCUUUCCAGUCUGCCCCUCUCAACUCUCAAUCUGCUUAAUUCUUUGAUAUUUCAGCAAAGUAGUGCCAGCCCAGAAAGCCCUGGAUAAAGAUGAGUGAAUAUCAGACAAUAGGGAAUUGCUGACGACGAUAGACAUCGAACGACUGUGCACAGUGCCAAAACAUCCGGUUCCGGAAUCAUCACAGACGGUGUGCACAAGAAUUUCCCAUGCGGUCACUAUAUUGCAUCUUGAUUCAAAAAUCGACUCUUAUCAUCGUUGACCUCCAACACAUGAACAGUGCAGUACACCUGUAAUCCUAUUGGUGCUAAUAUUUAGGCUUACAGGCAGUAUCUAUGGAUUGGAGAAAUGGCGGUAGAAUAAUCGGCUGGUGCUGAUGUUGAUAUGCUUUACAUAAUCACUCGUCUAACGGGGGAAAAUUUUAAAGACAGAAAGAAUUAUCCUGAUUGAGGGGUCCACCACUGCUCAUACUCAUCAAUCUCAGCCAAUCAAUGACCACCAGAGAUCAUUCUCUGGUCUGUCCAACAUGUUUGUUUAUUGGUGAUAGAGUAAUGCGAAGUUUCACCUGAACCCAAUUAUCUCUUAUUUUUAUUUUACGUCUAAAUUAAUGACCCAGGUUUCAAGAUUGAGAUGUCGUCGAUCAGCGAGCUCUUAUUGGUUUUGGGCAUCCAACCAUCCAACAUGUUCCCGGGAUUGUGUAAUUAGGUAAGAGCUUUGUUUCAAAGCAUUUCCUAUAGAUUGUUGGUCAACAGUAGGCGACACAGUAGCCAAGUUUCUCAGUAUCAAUGCACCUGUUUUUCCUUGAACCUUUUCUCACCGUGUUUCAACACUGGUCUCGACCUUGCUGUCACUAUUUAAAGGGACUAAAACAAGAGUAAUCACCAUCCCAUUCUUCCUCUGUCUGUGGCGGCUGCAACAGUUGAAUUAGAAACUUGGAAAAAUAGAAACAACCCAAUUAGAUAAUACCACACUCGCCCACACUCCAUCAAAAAUAUGAAUUCAAUUUCUGUUGCAUUGACGGUUGCUGCGCUGCUGUUUGUCACGGCCGAGGGUUGGAAUACUGGCGAUGGUGGUGUCAAAUGGUUGCCCAACUGCGACUUUCCUGGCUCGGACUUAAUCCAGUUUAGGACAACCGGAGAACAGUGUGGCAGAACAUGCAUUAACUAUUACUACUACAAGUGUAAUGCUUUCACUCACAAAGACGGAGUGUGUUACUUGAAAAGAAUUCCAGCCUCGCAACGCCCAUCGCGAUGUCCCUCGUGCAGUGUUUGCGGUUUUAUUCCAUAGCAAUUUUGAAUUUUACAUUCGACGACCAUUUGCUUAUUGCAGUUUAUUUCUUCGACAGUCUUGUCUGUAUCGAACGUGUCAUUUCACUUAUUAGUUUAGCGCACAUUAGUGUAAUUCACUCUUCUUCGUGAUUUCGUUACACCCAAUUGGCACAAUAAAACCCUUUUUUUUUGAACAGUUUCUGGGCCCUUCCGAAGAUAUAAUUUUUGGUAUUUUACACUAUUUCAUUUUAGUUUUCUGUCCAGAUGUGGUCAUUAACAGUCUGUCUGUUAAUGGCGAGGUCAAAAGGUUGUUCCAUUUUUUCGAUUGUAACCGCAGCUUGUGACAUGGCUGUGGACUAUAAAUAAUGCAUUUCCAUGUUUCUAUGGCAUUGAAGGUAAAUCAUUUCUCCUCCCGUUUUGGUUUUUGUUGUUGACGACCUGUCUACUGUCCAUCAGGAAAGUGAUGGAUGUGGUGGAAUAGGUACUUAUAUAAAUUCCGAGACAACACUAGCGAAGCAGACAGUACUGACACUCUCAUUGUUCCGGUGCAAACUCGCAGAGAAACAAGUCUUCUUUUUGUUACACGUAAAAAGGAGCUGCUGAUCUCAAUCAGCUUUUGAAAAAUCAACUGUGUUUCAUCAACAUGGGAAUUUCAAAUUUCCCGCCUCAUCUGAUUUUACUCGUUUUCCCGCUGAUUUUAAUCAUCGACACGACGAAAGCCGUGGCCAUCCACCACGAAAGGACAUUGGUGGAAGAAAGACGUCGCCCGGAUGAGACGGCCUCGAUCAAUUGGACGGAAUUGAUGGCCAAUGGCGAGCUGGACCAACGGGCGAAACGGGCCCUGUUUCUCAACUUGGUCAAUGCGCAGCAAGCCAAAGCCGAAGAAAACAUACGGAGGAGGAAGGAUUUUUUCAAAGUCCUUGUCGCCGCUACAUCGGCCGCCUCGAUCAAUGAACGCACCGAUAUUACCAAUCAUUCGGCCCAGAACGAUGUUGAAUAGUCGACGACCACCAGUUUCAUGACUGCCAAUCAAACGGCACGGACUUUGUCUUUUCCUGACGCAUGUGUACCAAGUACAGAGAACUUGUCAUCUAACAAAACAUUACAGACGAAUAAACGUUUCAUCGUUUACUGUAGUCACUUAUUAGACGUUGCUUAAUUAUUAUUAUCAUUAGGCUGACACGAUUUAUACACUAACGUAGUUGGAAAAAUAUACUAGCAUUUAUUACUCUGCAUCAAAAAAAGGAUGCCCGUUUGUUCGA
rnacentral:misc_RNA from 1 species